AGCAGCCGCGGUAAUUCCAGCUCCAAUAGCGUAUAUUAAAGUUGUUGCAGUUAAAAAGCUCGUAGUUGAAUUUCGGGGUCAGUAGAUUGGUCAUGCCACUGGUAUGUACUGGCCUCACUGAUUCCUCCUUCCUGAUGAGCCGUAAUGCCAUUAAUUUGGUGUUGCGAGGAAUCUGGACUGUUACUUUGAAAAAUUAGAGUGUUUAAAGCAGGCUAACGCUUGAAUACAUUAGCAUGGAAUAAUGAAAUAGGACGUUCGAUCUUAUUUUGUUGGUUUCUAAGAUUGACGUAAUGAUUAAUAGGGAUAGUUGGAGGCAUUAGUAUUCAAUUGUCAGAGGUGAAAUUCUUGGAUUUAUUGAAGACUAACUACUGCGAAAGCAUUUGCCAAGGAUGUUUUCAUUAAUCAAGAACGAAAGUUAGGGGAUCGAAGACGAUCAGAUACCGUCGUAGUCUUAACCAUAAACUAUGCCGACUAGGGAUCGGAUGAUGUUAAUUUUUUAAAUGUAA
rnacentral:rRNA from 1 species